CCUAAUGAAAUUUAGAAUUAUGCAUUGGUUGGGGUGCGCUAGGCCCAAGCAAUAGUGCAAGGCUAGGACAACAUUGAAAAGCAGGAGUAGCAAGCUACCAUGGCAAAUUUUUUCCCUCAAAAAAUAUUUAAUAUUGCCCCAUGUUGUGCGUUUGUAAUCUUGGGUAGUAAUACAGAAGAACCCGGGUUUCCAUUGGACCCAUUGCUGUGACCGGCCCAUUAAUCAGCACGAGCCUGCCCUGAUCGAACUGAACUGAUGAUGGAGAGCAUCCACCACUGCUGCAGCUGAUGGAGUGGAGUCCUGGCACGCUGCUCUGAGCGGGAGCGAAAGGAACAUUUCUGCUAUAGUCUGAGCGGGGCGAUGAGCGCGUUGGGGCUCCGCGUUUCCGCUCGGGACCGAAGCUGGCGGCGGCGGCGGUGCUAGAGCCGGAGAACGGGAGAAGAGAACCAAACCAGGGGCCAAUUUGGCUAUUUUCUAUCUAAAUCGAGGGGCUAAGUGCAAAUAAUCGGAUCGCGGGACCAGGGGGCAUUUUGCAAAUAUCCACGGCCGGCGUCAGGGCACCCAGCGAGGCCGCCGGCGACCUCUGACUGCCCCGGCGACAGGCAUCCAGGCUUUCUUCCCUCAGAGUAACCCGGCCUAGCGCGCGGGCCGCUUCAGGCCCUAGCUCCAUUGCCAGUUUGCCGAUGGAUUGAGACGGCAAGGGAGCGCAAUGCCACCCACCUACAUGAGCCGCCGCCGCCGCCGUGCGCGGGCGGCUCUGCUCCUCGUGGUACCGCAAGAACAGGCUGCUCCCUGCACAUCUCCGCCUCCAGGUUCAGUUCACCCCAUCCUAUGUUAAUUGUUCAAUGAGGACCACAUUAUUAGAUGAGGUGGACAUUUCAGGCUCCCAACUCAUCCAUCCUCUUCUUGUGAUAUGAAGAGGUGUUUUUUCCAUAAGUCUCAAGUGGAAUAAUGUUAUCUUGGGAUCAGGACAGUCAGCUGCUCUGGAUCAUAUGUUAGAGAGUGUACCAUUGUAAAAACGUUGCACAAAAACUGUGCUCCAAUGUACAGCUGGGAAAAAAGAUGGAAGGGGGAAAAAGAGAGAAAACAAGCUCAAAUCCCUGAUAUCUUCAUCUUCAGGAGCUGCAGACAGCAAAUUGCUGGUUCAAUCCACUGGAUUGUUGCACCAUUCUGCUUUGGUGGUGGCAAGGCAUCACUAUGGAACUGAGUGCCUUCUCAACAUCUUCAGAGGCCUCUCUCCUCAGUAAACACAUCACAUACUCCAUCACUGCUGUAUCGCAAGGCAGUGUGAUUCUCCCAUCACUUGUGAACCCAAAUUCUUCCUGUGACAAUUUCAGGAGCUCCACAAAGACUGUCGUGCGGAGGUAUGUGAGGGGGAUCUCAAACCGCUUCCCAUCGGAAGAGUAGACAAUGCAGUUGCCCUUCCCUGCAACCAUGCUGCUGCAAGAUGGGGUGAUCUCUUUGUCUACAGUUGUGAUCCUUCUUCGACCAAUUGCGCCCAUUCCCUGCCACUUCUUGGACAGCUGAGCUAGCUUCUUGGAGCUGAUCAUUGUAGCUACCUGCCUUUGGCUUUCAAGCAAAUGGACUCUUGUCUUUGAGAUGAAAUGGUCAGAAACAAUUCGAUUCUUGUGUGGCUAUGGUUUGUGCCGGUGAUCAUGUAUUUAUAGGGAACAUAUGUGGUAGGAAUUGGGAUGGGUUGCAUCUUGGUCUUGGCUUGUCAUAAACAGCAAGCUGGCAAGGGACAAGGCCACGAGCUUCCUUGGUGUGAUGUUCCUAUCUAUGGUUGGGAGAUUGAAUGCACAGGACAUGACCAUUGUGUCUCACAUGGUGGACCAUCUGUGCUGGCUUGGUAUGUGAUUGCAACCAGUGGGGCUUGAGUUUAACACAAUAAUACAAAUUGCUGGGUUGAGUUCUAUCUUGCUUGAUCUCAAGUGAUAACUGGCUUACUCCCUUGCUAUAUAGGUGCAGUUCACUUGAUAUCGUAGUUUUCGAUGAUAACGUCUUUAAACGAGGUACAUCACUCCGCCCCUUAUGAUUUUCUUUGCGCAAAUUAUUUUAAUGAUGCAUUUGCAGAAUUUUCUCUUGUCUCUUCUCCUGCAAGGCAUCUUGUAAAAAGAUGCUUGCAUCUAAUGUAGAAAUCUGCUUAUUAUUACUGUUUUUACCUAGCUAUAUAAACUGCUGCUGAUUAGUAUUUCCACCUAGGGAUAUAAACUUCUUGUAUAAUGCUCUUGCUCAGAGCAGAACAUAUCUUCUUUUGCUAAUUUGCUUCCUGGAUGGUCAGUUUAAGAAUGCUACUGUGGAUGAACUUGGGAACCGACAAUAUUCAUUAUGGCGAUGAAUAUAAGUCUAGGUGACAAAAAUUUGUCCAUAUGCUUUCAAUAAAAUAGUAAGUUGAAGAACUGCUGGUGAAAUUUACUCAAUAAAAAUAUAAGGGUCCAUGGCUUUUGCAUAGCAGUUAUUGAUGUCACUAGUUUGGCAAGCAGCAUGGUCAGGUAUCUGUUAAUGCAAUGUCUUCUACAAUAAAGGUAGGGCCAAAUUCUGGUGCACCGCCGUCCUUGCAGAGGCCAUGGUAGGGACCUGGUAGUAGGAUGAUUGGAUCUAUAUUGUGUACUAGCAGCAUGACGUUCGAUAUAAGAACUCGACUAUCAUCUUAGUCCCAGCUCUUGUAAACAUGAGAACAUAUUUAUAAAAAAGAAUCGGUUGGAGAGCGAUCAUCAAAAAGAUUAUCCAGGAUGCUUCGUGUGUCCUUAGCUGAUGGUGAGAGAGCCGUACAGUGGCCAAGAGACAAGAGGGAAGCAUGUAGGGUCCUAGGUUUUGAGAAGUACCUUCCUGUUUCAGUUGUGGAAGGAGAACUGGAUAUGUCGAUAUGUUACAUCGCCAACAUUAAUUUCUAUUGGGACGACGGUGCUGGUUGAUUGAAACAACUUUCCUCCACAAUUUCUUAUCUGCAUUGUACGUUGUGGUCCAACCAAUUAGUCCCCAGCAUCUCUGGUGUCCUCCAUUUCCUCGUUUCUUCCUGAUCAUUCCUGGUAGGUCUCUACACCAAAGUCUGCACCUAUGAUCUAUCUGAAUACCAUUUUGGUAAUUUCUUUUAGAAUUGUUGUAUUGUGACCAAUGUUUUGUAUGGAGAACCUUAGGGUCCUAUUUUUGGCGUUGGAAUAAGAUCGUCUCAUUUGCAUAUCUGACUCCACUCAUCCUGGCAUUCUGCAGAGUGUGGUAUAUCAUGCUCCCAACUCAUUCAUACCCUUUUCUGAAGAGACAUACUGAUGUCACUGUGGUCGGGUUAAUCCCUUUUGUAGGUGACUGUCAUGUCAUGUGUAUCUGACCUUAUGCAUAUUUACAUCAGAUCAGUUAUACAAUCCAAUGGGCAAGCACUUUGUGUGUUCAGAAAAAAUGAAGAACAAGGCAUAUUCUGUGUUAGUUUCAGGAGAUGCUUGAUAGCAAACUUUAUAACUGUGUAAUAUGCACUUCUUUCGUCCAAUAUUUCAGGCGUUUAUUUUCUCAGUCAGAAGUGGAAUUGUGUGAUCUGGGAAUCAAGAUGGCCAGCUGCUCUGGGCGUAUGCCAGAAUGGUCAGCAGAAGAACACAGGAGACCUACCAACUGCAUGAAACUGUGCACCAAGCCAUAUUUUGUAUUUCACUAGUGUUUUGCGCGCGCCCAUGCGCGCGUUGCCUUUUCUUACUCGAGAACCUUUUAAGUUAGCAUCCUAGAUUAUCAUUUAUUAGAUAAUGUUUAAUGAACAGAAUUUUUUGGUUGAGCAAUUAAUGCAUAUACAUUGAUAUGAAAUGGCUGCUCUAUAGCAUAGUUUGUUAUUGUUACUUUAUCUAUAAAGUAACAAUACAACUUAAUACAACAUUGGUUAUAUUGCUACUGAUAUUUGUACAAAUUUGUUGAGGCCACCUUCAUCUGCCAGGUUCACAACUGCAAAAGUUUUUUUGGUUCUAUAUCCAUCUCUAUGUGAAAUUAGAAAUAUAAUAAUUAUGAACAAGGUAAGCAACAUCUUGAAAGCAGCACAAAUUAUAUCCUUCUUAGACUAUAUAAAUGUUGGGACAGCGAUCUAUAUUAAUCCAAACCUUGUAGCUCCCUCUAAUUGUGCUUAUUACUGUGACACCGUAACAUAUUGAGACAAAUACUCUAAUUGAUUAAUCCAAAUCGAGAAAAGGACAGUAAACUCCUAAAAACAUACCAAAUGUUGUCACACAGUUAUUGGUAGAAUGGAUUUACCAGUGCAAAUGUAAUUAUUAUUAAAGUUCAAAAAUAGCAUCUACAAUUUUAUUCUUGUCUAUUCAAUAUAUUCAUUUAUACCACUGAAUUAGGUUAGGAAAGCAAGGUAUUUGCAACAAUUAUUGUACAUGACUCGGAAUAAUGAUAAAGUGUAAUACCAAAAUGUCUAAAUAAAAGAUGCAUGUUAGAAGUUCUAAUAUUAGUAUAUUGCACGCAACAGUAAAAAAAUUUGGGAACUAAACAUCCCUCAAUUGCACUUCGAGCCUCCUUAUCUCGAAACCUGCCUGAAACAAUAACAAAAAAUAUGGAAUACAAAAAGAAGCACAUCAAAAUAUCAAUACCCGAAAUAAGCAAAACACAGAACAAAACCAGCAGGAAAAAUGAUCACGGACCAAACAAAAAGAGGCGGAGGAGUAUAGAAAAAAUAACAAACAAAGCUAGGCACAACGAGAAAGCAAAACAGGGAAGAGAGAGAGAGGGAGGGAGGGAGAGAGAGAAUCAUCUGUUUAGCCGUUUUAAAAAACGAAACUGAGGCGUUGCUGCAAGUCAAUCCCCGUCUCUCUCAGGCAGUGGUGAGCUAGCGUUGGUGGUAGCAGCCGUACCCAAGUCGGCAGCCGGUGGGCGCACGCGGGACCCUGCGACUGCAGCCUGCGGAGGCGGCUGCAGCCCCAGCUUACGAGCAGAGGGCCGGCGUGAUGAACGGAUGAGGCGGCGCCAGACAGGCAGCUGCGUAACCGGGCAGACGGCCGCAUGCGGCAGCGAACGGCACGCAGGUAAGCAGGCUGCUGCGUGCCCAGCAAUCGAUGGGGUCACCGCAGGGCGCAG